rnacentral:rRNA from 1 species
ACGUACUUGUACUGAUUGAGAUUUUAACACGAAGUGAGUGGCGAACGGGUGAGUAACACGUGGGUAACCUGCCCAGAAGUAGGGGAUAACACCUGGAAACAGAUGCUAAUACCGUAUAACAGAGAAAACCGCAUGGUUUUCUUUUAAAAGAUGGCUCUGCUAUCACUUCUGGAUGGACCCGCGGCGUAUUAGCUAGUUGGUGAGGUAAAGGCUCACCAAGGCAGUGAUACGUAGCCGACCUGAGAGGGUAAUCGGCCACAUUGGGACUGAGACACGGCCCAGACUCCUACGGGAGGCAGCAGUAGGGAAUCUUCCACAAUGGACGCAAGUCUGAUGGAGCAACGCCGCGUGAGUGAAGAAGGGUUUCGGCUCGUAAAGCUCUGUUGUUAAAGAAGAACGUGGGUAAGAGUAACUGUUUACCCAGUGACGGUAUUUAACCAGAAAGCCACGGCUAACUACGUGCCAGCAGCCGCGGUAAUACGUAGGUGGCAAGCGUUAUCCGGAUUUAUUGGGCGUAAAGCGAGCGCAGGC